GCAAAAGAAAGGGGAAAAAACCUUUUCCGGCCUUUUACUUCCCAAUAAAUUCCCGUAAUGUGUUCAGGGCUUUCGGUACUUGGAAAACAAGUGGGGCAUUGGUUUUUUCAGGUCCGUUUGUAAAAAGUUGGGUUAAAUCCCGCAAGGAGGGAAACCCCUGCCCUCAGUAGCCAGCAGGUAAAGCUGGGACUUUGAGGGGACUGCCGGGGAUAACCGGGAGGAAGGCGGGGAUGACGUCAAAUCAUCAUGCCCCUAUGGNCGGGGGCUACACACGUGCUACAAUGGCGGAAACAGAGGGAGGCAGCNCCGUGAGGGUGAGCAAACCCCCAAAAAUACCGCCUCAGUUCGGAUUGUAGUCUGCAACCCGACUACAUGAAGCCGGAAUCGCUAGUAAUCGCGAAUCAGAAUGUCGCGGUGAAUACGUUCCCGGGUCUUGUACACACCGCCCGUCACACCAUGGGAGCCGGAAAUGCCCGAAGUCAGUGGCCCAACCCAAAAGGAGGGAGCUGCCGAAGGUGGAGCUGGUAACUGGGGUGAAGUCGUAACAAGGUA
rnacentral:rRNA from 1 species